CUGUUUAUCAAAAACAUAACUACAAGAACAACUAGUUGUAGCUAUUUCUGCUCCAUGAGUGUUUAAAUAGCCGCAGUACUUUGACUGUGCAAAGGUAGCAUAAUCAUUUGGCUUAUAAUUAAAGUCUAGUAUGAACGAAUAUAUGGGGAAUGACUGUUUCUUAUAUUUUAAUAGAAGUUACUGUUAAAGUGAAAACCCUUUUAGAUUAAACUUAGACGAGAAGACCCUAGAAAUUUGAAUGAUAAUAAUUUUGUUGGGGCGACAAGGUAACAGUUUGAACUUACCUAUUUUACUUGAAAUUGUAUUUAGUGAGAUUAAAUUACUCUAGGGAUAACAGCAUAAUUUAUUAAAGUUUGUGACCUCGAUGUUGGACUAGGAAAAGAGUGUUAGAAAA
rnacentral:rRNA from 1 species